rnacentral:rRNA from 1 species
CAGCUCCAAUAGCGUAUAUUAAAGUUGUUGCAGUUAAAAAGCUCGUAGUUGGAUCUAGGGACGCGCAUUUCAAGCGCCCGUGCCGUCGGGUCAAACCGGCGGCUGCGUUGGCGUUGCGGGCUCGGUCCGUCGGUGCCCCACAAAGGGCUAUCGGCGUGUCAACCGGCCCGCCCGUCCCCUCCUUCUGGAUUCCCGUUCCUGCUAUUGAGUUAGUGGGGACGUCACAGGGGGCUCAUCGUCGUCGUGCAAACGGCGGCGGUGGGUCCCUGGGGCCCAGAUCGUUUACCGUGAAAAAAUUAGAGUGUUCAAAGCAGGCAGAUCCAAUUUUCUGCCACCGAAUACAUUAGCAUGGGAUAAUGGAAUAGGACCCUGUCCUCCUAUUUUCAGUUGGUUUUGGCAGCGCGAGGACUAGGGUAAUGAUUAAUAGGGAUAGUUGGGGGCAUUAAUAUUUAAUUGUCAGAGGUGAAAUUCUUGGAUUUAUGAAAGAUUAACUUCUGCGAAAGCAUCUGCCAAGGAUGUUUUCAUUAAUCAAGAACGAAAGUUAGGGGAUCGAAGACGAUCAGAUACCGUCGUAGUCUUAACCAUAAACGAUGCCGACCAGCGAUUAGGAGACGUUGAAUACAAAACACCACCAUCGGUGCGGUCGUCCUUGGCGUCGGUCUUUCGGGGCCGGCGCGGGGACGGCUUAGCCCGGUGGCACCGGUGAA